ACAACAAUGAGUUAUUUUAAACAAAGAGAGGGGGGCUGUACAUUGGGAAAAGAGGACAGUGAGUUUGCAGUGUGUAGCGAUUGUUGCCGUAAUUCUAAGUCAAUAAAGUGUGUUCAGUCAGGUGGAGAGGACGGCAAGGUAGUGUUAUUUUUAGCGGUUCCUACUGUGAUUCUAAGCC